UCUGAGCUUGUUGGAGAAGGUAAAGUGUGAGUUUGUGUCUCUGUAACACCAGCAGUCCAUUUUACAGGAUAUUGGUGGGGCAAAUGCAAAUGGCAAAAGGACUGCAGCAACCUGAAAAAUGCUGUUUGUCAUCCAAGCUUGAAUGGAACUCCAUAGAAGGCAGGCAGCAAACUUGUCACCACUCUCCCCUCCAGACUUGCAAGGGCUUGCUAUGAGGCAGAGGUAGCACUGAGCUUCUCCAGAAAAGACUAUACAGAACCUCCUGUUCAGCGUGGGGCAUUGUUUAUAUAGAUGAGAGGGUGGCUCUGAGACCAUACAAAGCAGAUCCAAAGCUGCAUUCAAGGAUUAGAGUAAAUCUGUUGGAUUUCUUCCUCCUCUUCCUUUUCUAUGAUCUGGUAAAAUGAGGGGACUUAGAGUAACAGCAAGUGAGUUGGGAUCAGUGGGUGCUUAUGUGUUGGUUGGAAGCAGAUGGGCCUUCCAGAUUAGUUGCCAGUGGAUACAAAAGUAUUUGCACAGGUGGAGUAAGAACAGUCCAGUGUGGGAAUUCUCCUUUUUUUUUUUUUUUUUUUUUUUAAAUGCGGAACAGUCUAUCCUUCUGCUUUCUGGAAAGAAAAGGCCAGGGCUUACUGCCUUCCCUAACAAGUUGCAAGCACAAAAUCUGUCCCCUCUACCCUUAUGCACAUAAAGACUACCUUCACUCAUGCUGGUUUUGUCUGGAGAUGAACUGCUUCAGCUGGUUCAAAUUCUUUUCUCUUCCUCAUGUUCCUUUUGCUCUGCACUUUUGUUUCCCUAUACAGCUGGAGUCCCUGCUGGUAUUUUGGAUAACUAGAAUUUUGUCACUGACCUGGUAAUGUCCACAGAGACCUAACCUUUGUUAUUAGCCCUCCUGAAUGUAAGUGCCAAAAUCUAUGUGUUUGCCUUAUCUCGUCAAACUGGAACCAAAUUCUGGUGUCAGCACAUUGCUGCCACAUCACUCAGUCAGUCCCCUUCAAGGCUAUAAUGAAGGGCAAUAGCAGCCAUGGACAAUACUUGUGGUGCAAAGUGCAAAGGUUCUUUGAUAAAAGGAUUCCUUCCUGAGUAUGUGACUAGGGGAUUUCAGGAAAAACCCUGAGAGCAAACAAGCUGAACCACAUAGUUCUUUUAUAGCACAGAGAAUUACUGAUGUGUUAGUAGGAUAAAUCAGAUGUCAGCUCUCCCAGAGCACCAGAUUUGGCCAAGCAUCUUAUUUUCUCUGAUAAGUUUGAUGUUGUGUUUUUAAAAUUUAUUUACUUAUUUAUUACAUUUUCUUUCUUUGUCCUGUAGUGAGAGGAAAGGUUUGCAAACUGAACCAUACUUGCAUGCUUAUAUCAGUCUCAUGGUCCUACAAGCAGAGAGUCUGUUAAAUGAACUC